rnacentral:rRNA from 1 species
GAUGAACGCUGGCGGCGUGCCUAAUACAUGCAAGUCGAGCGAACGGACGAGAAGCUUGCUUCUCUGAUGUUAGCGGCGGACGGGUGAGUAACACGUGGAUAACCUACCUAUAGGACUGGGAUAACUUCGGGAAACCGGAGCUAAUACCGGAUAAUAUUUUGAACCGCAUGGUUCAAAAGUGAAAGACGGUCUUGCUGUCACUUAUAGAUGGAUCCGCGCUACAUUAGCUAGUUGGUAAGGUAACGGCUUACCAAGGCAACGAUGCAUAGCCGACCUGAGAGGGUGAUCGGCCACACUGGAACUGAGACACGGUCCAGACUCCUACGGGAGGCAGCAGUAGGGAAUCUUCCGCAAUGGGCGAAAGCCUGACGGAGCAACGCCGCGUGAGUGAUGAAGGUCUUCGGAUCGUAAAACUCUGUUAUUAGGGAAGAACAUAUGUGUAAGUAACUGUGCACAUCUUGACGGUACCUAAUCAGAAAGCCACGGCUAACUACGUG